AUCUACGCUAUUUUAAUGCCAUUAGUGGAUGCCUUGGAAGUAUUGACCGAAGAAGGACGCUUCAUGGUUCGCGAAACUCGUCGGGGAGUGGCCAAUGACACUUUGAUCCGACGGUGUCCGAAUCCGGUAACGGAUCUCGAUGCAAAGUCGAGAAAACCUCGUAGUAAAAGCGGUCUUACACCACGCCCAUAAGAAUAACCCAAUAAACAAAUAACCCAAUAACCCAAUCAAUCAAGAAUUUAAUAAUUCUUAAAUUGAAAAAUUGAUUGGUAGUAUUUGUGGCAUUUGUAGUAUUGGUAGUAUUUGCUUGUUGGUGGGGUGUAGGGCCGUAUAGCUGCAGGUGGGGAACCCGGUGAACUGAAACAUCUAAGUAACCGGUGGAAAAGAAAUCACAGAGAUUCCCUUAGUAGCGGCGAGUGAAAAGGGAUGAGCUCAAACUUGCGCGGUAGCGCAAGGACCAUUAACAACUGACAUUUGACAUUUGACCAAAGUAAUUACGGUUAAUUGUUAAUUGUUAAAUGUUAACUGUUCUUGCGCUACUUAGCGCAAGGGUUGUAGGACGGCUGGCUUAAAUGCAAAAGGUUACAAGAAUUAGGUAGUAGAAAGCGCUGGAAUCGCGCCGCCAUAGAAAGUGAUAGCCUUGUAAACAAAAUCUAAUUCUACCUUCGCCUGUUCCUGAGUACCAUGGGGCACGAUUAAACCCUGUGGGAAGCUGGGGCGACCAAGCUCCAAAGCUAAAUAUCAAUACUUACCGAUAGUGAACUAGUACCGUGAGGGAAAGGUGAAAAGCACCCCGGAAGGGGGAUGAAAGAGUACCUGAAACUAAUGGCUAACAAGCAGACAAAGCCGGAGGACAGAGUACAGAAGACGGAGGACGGACAGCAGAUAAAACGGACGAACAGAAAAUUUCUGUUUUGAUCUGUCUUCUGCAAUCUGACUUCUGAUUUCUGUUUUCCGUCCUCUGGUAAUGUCGUGCCUAUUGAAGAAUGAGCCAGUGAGUUCUUGUUGUCUUCUAGUCUAAUUCCGAUUAAUCGGAAGGAGGCGCAGUGAAAGCGAGCCCUAACCGGGCGCUAGAGAAGCCAACAGGAGACCCGAAACCGGGUGAGCUAACCAUGAGCAGGGUGAAUGCCGACGAGAGUCGGCAGGAGGCCCGAACCCGUUGAUGUAGCAAUAUCAUGGGAUGACUUGUGGUUAGGGGCAAUAUGCCAAACGAACUCGGAGAUAGCUGGUUCUCCCUGAAAUAUAUUUAGGUAUAGCCUUAAUAAUUACG
rnacentral:ncRNA from 1 species